CUACGGGUGGCAGCAGUAGGGAAUAUUGCUCAAUGGGGGAAACCCUGAAGCAGCAACGCCGCGUGGAGGAUGAAGGUUUUCGGAUUGUAAACUCCUUUUGUUAGAGAAGAUAAUGACGGUAUCUAACGAAUAAGCACCGGCUAACUCCGUGCCAGCAGCCGCGGUAAUACGGAGGGUGCAAGCGUUACUCGGAAUCACUGGGCGUAAAGAGCGCGUAGGCGGGAUAGCAAGUCAGAUGUGAAAUCCUAUGGCUUAACCAUAGAACUGCAUUUGAAACUGUUAUUCUAGAGUAUGGGAGAGGUAGGUGGAAUUCUUGGUGUAGGGGUAAAAUCCGUAGAGAUCAAGAGGAAUACUCAUUGCGAAGGCGACCUGCUGGAACAUUACUGACGCUGAUGCACGAAAGCGUGGGGAGCAAACAGGAUUAGAUACCCGGGUAGUC
rnacentral:rRNA from 1 species